GUGAUGCAGGGUACCAACGCUGCCACAGUAGUUUAUUUUGUUGUUGUUUUGUUUUGUUUUUUGAGAUGGAGUCUCACUCUAUUGCCAAGCUGGAGUGCAGUGGUGCGAUCUCGGCUCACUGCAACCUCUGCCUCCCGGGUUCAAGCAAUUCUCCUGCCUCAGCCUUCCGAGUAGUUGGGACUACAGGCACGCACCGUCACGCCUGGCUAAUUUUUUGUAUUUUGGUAGAGACGGGGUUUCACCAUGUUGGCCAGGAUGGUCUCAAUCUCCUGACCUCGUGAUCCACCCGCCUCAGCCUCCCAAAGUGCUGGGAUUACAGGUGUGAGCCACCGCGCCCGGCCCACAGUACAGUUUUACAAAGAAAGGUGUAGCUCCAGGAAAGGAAAGGAAUAACCUUUACCAUUGACUGUGCUGCAGGACUCUAGCCCUGAUCUGCUCUCUUCUGGGAGCAUCUGAUAGAACAAACAGAAACCCCUCUCCCACUGUUCUCCUGUGUCCAGAGUGGGAGGCAUAACUGCUUUGCCUCCAGUCAUCAUCUGGGGGCAUAUCUACUCUUCGAGGACCAGGGGUUCGGGACCCUGGAACAGGAUCUGAAUUCCAAGCUGACCUCAGGGGUACAUGAAGACUGCUAGAUGAGACGGGAUCUCACUGUGUUGCCCAGGCUGGUCUCGAACUGCUGGACUCAAGUCAUCCUCCCAUCUUGGCCUCCCAAAGUGCUGGAAUUACAGUGGACAACCUUCAAUGCACUGGUACUUUGUACCCUGACCUCUACUGUGAUGAACACUCAACUUGGGCAAGGAAGUGAAAUUCUCCAAAGGUAUGAUUACCUACAAACCUAGCCACUGAUAUUAUUUAAGUUUGUUGAUCUCU
rnacentral:lncRNA from 1 species